rnacentral:rRNA from 1 species
AACGAACGCUGGCGGCAUGCCUAACACAUGCAAGUCGAACGAGACCUUCGGGUCUGGUGCUGCACGGGUGGGUAGCGGGUGGGGACAUGCCCAUAGGUUUGGCAUAUCUCCCCGAAUGGGGUGCUAAUACCGGAUAAUGUCUCCCAUCCGUAGUUUUAUCGCCUUUGGAUGGGCUCGCGUGGGCUUAGCUUGUUGUUAGGGUAAAAGCCUACCACGGCGAGGUUCCAUAGCUGGUCAGAGAGGCAGAGCACCGACACUGGGACUGAGACACGGCCCAGAAUCCUGGAGGAGGGAGCAGUGGGUGAUAGUGGAAUGCGGCGGAAAGGCUGAAGGAGUAAGGCCGCGUGAGUGAUGAAGGUCUUAGGGUAGUAAAGCACGUUUAUCCGGGGUGAUAAUGACAGUACCGGGAGAAUAAGCUCCGGCUAACUCCGUG